AGCAAUCUAGCCCAGUGGUGAGUGUUGGUGUGUAGUCCAGUGGGUCUUGGGAUCAAAUCCCAGGCUAGCCG
rnacentral:tRNA from 1 species